rnacentral:tRNA from 1 species
CGUAUUGCGCCAGAUGAAUGGAUUACAUUGAUGUUGUAAAUUAUGGUGGCCCUCCCCAAUAUUU